AGAGUUUGAUCCUGGCUCAGGAUGAACGCUAGCGGCAGGCUUAACACAUGCAAGUCGAGGGGUAAGGUUCCGCUUGCGGAAUACACGACCGGCGCACGGGUGAGUAACGCGUAUACAACUUACCAUUAACUGGAGCAUAGCCCGGAGAAAUCCGGAUUAAUACUCCAUAACAUUUCAAAUUCGCAUGUUUUUGAAAUUAAAGCUCAGGCGGUUAAUGAUGGGUAUGCGUGACAUUAGCUUGUUGGUGAGGUAACGGCUCACCAAGGCAACGAUGUCUAUGGGGUCUUAAAGGAUGAUCCCACACACUGGUACUGAGACACGGACCAGACUCCUACGGGAGGCAGCAGUGAGGAAUAUUGGGCAAUGGACGCAAGUCUGACCCAGCCAUGCCGCGUGCAGGAUGACGGCCCUAUGGGUUGUAAACUGCUUUUUUACGGGAAGAAUAGGCACUACGUGUAGUGAUUUGACGGUACCGUACGAAUAAGCACCGGCUAACUCCGUGCCAGCAGCCGCGGUAAUACGGAGGGUGCAGGCGUUAUCCGGAUUUAUUGGGUUUAAAGGGUGCGUAGGCGGGCUAAUAAGUCAGUGGUGAAAUCUCAUGGCUCAACCAUGAAAUUGCCAUUGAAACUGUUAGUCUUGAGUAUAGUUGAGGUAGGCGGAAUGUGUCAUGUAGCGGUGAAAUGCUUAGAUAUGACCCAGAACUCCGAUUGCGUAGGCAGCUUACUAAACUAUUACUGACGCUGAUGCACGAAAGCGUGGGUAGCGAACAGGAUUAGAUACCCUGGUAGUCCACGCCGUAAACGAUGAUUACUCGCUGUGUGCGAUAUAUUGUACGCGGCUGAGCGAAAGCAUUAAGUAAUCCACCUGGGGAGUACGGUCGCAAGAUUGAAACUCAAAGGAAUUGACGGGGGCCCGCACAAGCGGAGGAACAUGUGGUUUAAUUCGAUGAUACGCGAGGAACCUUACCUGGGCUUAAAUGUAGAGUGCAUAAACGGGAAACUGUUUUUUCCUUCGGGACUCUUUACAAGGUGCUGCAUGGUUGUCGUCAGCUCGUGCCGUGAGGUGUCGGGUUAAGUCCCAUAACGAGCGCAACCCCUAUCGUUAGUUGCCAGCGAGUCAAGUCGGGGACUCUAACGAGACUGCCGGUGUAAACCGCGAGGAAGGUGGGGAUGACGUCAAAUCAGCACGGCCCUUACGUCCAGGGCUACACACGUGUUACAAUGGCCGAUACAAAGGGCAGCUACCAGGUGACUGGAUGCUAAUCUCGAAAGUCGGUCUUAGUUCGGAUCGAAGUCUGCAACUCGACUUCGUGAAGCUGGAUUCGCUAGUAAUCGUAGAUCAGCAACGCUACGGUGAAUACGUUCCCGGGCCUUGUACACACCGCCCGUCAAGCCAUGGAAGCUGGGGGUACCUGAAGUCUGUCACCGCAAGGAGCGGCCUAGGGUAAAACUGGUAACUGGGGCUAAGUCGUAACAAGGUA
rnacentral:rRNA from 1 species